rnacentral:lncRNA from 1 species
AAUCACGCCUAUCAAACACAAGCAUCGACUUCAUAUCAUAAUCCACAGAUGCAUAAUACAUAAACAAUCUGCAUAAAUAUCUACUGCUGGAAACUAAAUCAAGCUAGGCAAGUGACAUAUAUAGAUUCUCACAGUAGAGGGGUACAAGAGCAAGAGGAGCUUGCCCAUCUUCUUCCCAGCAGCUCUGGAGGACUGCAAUCCUGCCCCUUGGGAACCAGCCCCUGCAAAUGAACAGAUUGACAUAUCAAAUUGCAUCUCUAGCGGAUGAAUAGGGGAAAAUAUGAAGCCUCUUUGCAUAUGUGAUCCAUAUGAAAUAAAGCUGAAUCAAGAAUGCAUAAUUCUGCAUCGGCAAAACCGUAUCAAGAUCGCAUAAUGCGCAACCAGGAACUCAAUUUGGCCAUGUAUUUUGCAGGUAGACUUUAGUAUGGCACUCCAUAUUGUAGCUAAGAUCUAAUCAACAUUCUUUUCAGUGGAACUUUAAACAACCCAAAGCCCUUUUAUACAGAGCUAGCUUCAGUUGCAGAAAUAGUAAAUAAACAGUGAUCGAUGUGAACAACACAUACAGAGAAGAGGAGGUGUUCAUCACCAGAUGAUCCUUUUCGUCAGAGGCAAAGAGGAGGAACUGCUUGUUACCGACGUCGUCUGUCCCGCUGCAGCCAACGUCGCCGGUCUAACCUGGCCAUGCACACACCAUGACAGCAAGCUGAGUCAAGAAAAGGCGGCAUCUCCCAAAGAAAAUAGAUGCACGAAAAAAAGAUUUCAUCACCCACAAACGAUAUUUCAAUACCUAACAAACGAAUAGACUCUCCACUCGAUUGAUCACAAAUUUGUGGCCGGUUUAUUCCUCUCUACAGGCUAACAGCUUCACCAAAGAAAAUCAUCUAUGUUACUAAAGGGGAGCCACAAAGGACAACCAUCUACGUAAGCCUAGCUCAUCAGUCAAUUUAAGAAUCAGUCUGCCUCCUAUAACUGCUGAUGAGCUAAGGAAAGCACAAUAACUAAAACAUGCACUCUUGUGUAUACCUUAAAACCCGAAAAAGUGGGCAACCGUGUACUUAAGAGAUAAAGCAGCCUCAAAUAAUCUACCGAGAAACUGUAUAUAUUUUAGUUACCUUUUUUGGUGAACUCCAGUCUAAAAUGAUUUACUGAUAAAGUAGUCAACAGAGCCAAAGAUCUUUCAGCAUGAGUAUAAAUGUGACAUCAGGAUCUUACUAAGAGAACAAACAUGGCAACAUGGUUAAGAUUUAGCAAUAUUAAACUAUAAGCACGAAUUAUGUGCUACUGGCAGUCUUGUGAAGAGUAUAACAUCGGACUGGAAAAGAAUCACUACAUAGUAUACCAAGACUUGCUGAUAAGAAAUAAAUAAAGAUGUGAUUCGCAAAAGGUACUAACCUUCUUGCAAUUAGGAAAGAAAACAAAGACAAUGAGAAAUCCAGGAACACACUAAUGGUUGCACAUCCAUGAUUGUAUCUAAUCCAGCUUUAUCUGAACAGAAACAUCCACAUACCUUGUCCUAGACCAAAAGAAAUUCCAAAAAAAAUAGCAUUAUAUGGAAUAGUUCUCAUGCCUACACAAACCAACAAAUUGAUUUUGUAAUUCACUCCAUCCAUGACACAUCUGUAAAACAGACUUACUGGACAUAAUUAUAACCUAGUUGAGCGACCAAUAACAAUUCAUGCAAGAUUUUUAUAACUACAGCUUAAAGUGAAUGUUCCCUUCAACCUACACAAACCUAAGAAAACAACUGGCCAAAAUAAGCUAGCAUAUGAGCCUGCUUCACGGGUCGUAGGAAUGUGCAUUGAAGUAAUGUUCCUCCAUCACAAGCAUUAGAGAUAAUUAUUAGUUAGUGCAGCUACUGUCAUAGUAGAACAUAUAUGAAUCCGAUAUCAUAUUGAAUUGCAUGCAUUGAAAUUAACAAAGAUGAUAGCUUCCAAAUAUUUGUAUGCAGGUCAACCUCAUGUUUGCCAAACAUGUCAAUUGCAUCCAUACGGACUGUAUGACAACACAAGAUAUUGAAUAAAUAUUGAAAAGCAUGAGCCUUAUGCAAACAGAUACCAAACGGAACCCAAACUGAUACUUGGAUAUAUUUAAUCAAUAUAACUGACCUUCACAUGGAAAAGAAGGAAACGACAUAUUUAUAUGAAUUGCCAGAGUUUCUCCCCGUUUUAGAUCUACAGAAAUAUGCACGCAUUGAAAAGAAAAACUUGAGACGGGUUCAUGAUCUUGGUGCUGGCAGUCAAAACAAUAAUAAGUGGGCCUCAAGCCUUGUUCAGUGUGAGACGAGCUCAUGAAUUCAGUUAACAAUGAACCUGAAUCUAUGUCUACGUGUGAAGGGACAGUGUUCAAUGUGAGAUGAGCUCAUGAAUUCAGUUAACAAUGAACCUGAAUCUAUGUCUACGUGUGAAGGGACAGACAGAGAGAAAGAUGGGGCUUUGAGGAGGGAGGGAGGGACUGACAGGGUGAUCCCGAAAGCUCCGACGAUGGGGACGACGCGCCAGAGCACCACCGCGUGCAACAGCUGGUCCUGCAAUCAAACCUACAAGCAAGCGAUGACAACUUAGAAUCCCAUGGAGUAGCGAUGCAUGGUUUGGUCGUUCAGGAGCUAGGAUACGCGGUGGCAGCAGUUAGCAGGAGGUGCUUACAAAUGCACAAAAGACAUGGACAAUUCUAAUAUUUUUAGCAAGCAAAUUUCAAAUAUGAUUUGCUUACAUACAUCAACGGUCAGAUAAACAAAUUAGGAAUCUUUGUAUACAUACAUAAGCAACUGGAAAAUAAUGGAUCUAUCAGAGAAACCUCAGAAACUAAAAUGUGUCUUAUCUAUGCCUUUUGAUCUCGUAAGACAUUGGUUUCUUUGGAUUUCUAAUUUCAUUCAUAUAUAUAAGCCACCCAAUCGUACAGCGAGAAAGGAUUCUAGUGAACAAUACCACUAACCAAAAGGUGACUUGUUGACAAACGACUGUAGAACACACAAACAGGUAUGCGGUCAGAUCCGGAACCAAUCGCAGCAGGACCAGGAAAUCAGCCAAGCUUGCCCUGCCAAAUCAACAAUAAAUCAGACACUGGCCAUUGAUUGAGAUGCACAGGAGAGAGAGAGGGAGAUAUAUAUAUAUAUAUAUAUAUAUAUAGAGAGAGAGAGAGAGAGAGAGAGAGAGAAAGAGAGGAAGCUGAGAGCAAGAGGGCCCUGGCGGCGCGAGAGCGAAGGGGCGGCGUAGUCGACCAAGGCCUGAGCGCCGCAGCACCUCGAGGUUCUCCUUCCACUUGCUUCUGCCUCUGCUUCUUCUUCUAUCUCCCUCUCAUGGCCUCCACUGCUCGAGUGAAAUACCUG